rnacentral:ncRNA from 1 species
GGUCUGCAACUCGACCUCAUGAAGUCGGAGUCGCUAGUAAUCGCAGAUCAGCAACGCUGCGGUGAAUACGUUCCCGGGGCUUGUACACACCGCCCGUCAAGUCAUGAAAGUUGGUAACACCCGAAGCCGGUGGCCUAACCGUUGUGGGGGAGCCGUCGAAGGUGGGACUGGUGAUUAGGACUAAGUCGUAACAAGGUAGCCGUACCGGAAGGUGCGGCUGGAUCACCUCCUUU